rnacentral:misc_RNA from 1 species
CAAAAUUAGUCUUUGCCUACAGUUAUUUUAAGAUAGAAGAUUUCAUAAGAGGUAAGAGAACCUCCGUUACAUAACAUAAUUAAUUGAGGUAGACUCAGUCUUUUUUCGAAGUAAUCUGGUGCUUAUGUGCAUUCCACUGCAUCAACAUCCACACGAUUGAUGUGCCUGCAACGAAGCAGAGGAAUGCCAAAAUGGAUUCAGUAAUUGUGUGAUAUAUCAG